CCCUGGUUAGUUGGAAUCCCACUCCUAAUGGUGGGAUGGGAUUUCAUGGAAAAGGGUAAAAUAUUAAAUGCUAACUAUGGCUACUCCAAUAUGCAUUUCAAGACAGAGCUUGGUAAUUUUAAUACAACAGACUGGAAAAUGAAAUAUACCUCCCUUCUCUUGACAAAGAGGAAGAGGUCCUAUCCCAAGAAGGCAGAAAUUACUGUGAUACAAAAAAUGGCA